rnacentral:lncRNA from 1 species
CCAGAUGAGAAAAUAGAAAAUGAAGCUAUUGGGGAGACAAUCGAAGGUCAAACUACAGCUGGAGCACCAGUUGAAGAAGCCAUAACAGCUGAGGAAAUGGUAGAGGAUGUUAAGGUGCUAGAUGAUAAACCUGCAGCAGCUGAGAAACCUGUAGAGGAUGUUAAGGUGCUAGAUGAUAAACCUGCAGCAGCUGAGAAACCUGUAGAGAAUGCCACAGUUGUGACACAUGAGAAUUCAACAGUUGAGAAGACUCUGCAGGAUGCCAUUGCGCCAGCAGAUACAAAUACCACACUAGGGGAGGCCCCAACGGUGGAGAAGACUAUAGAGGAUACCUCGGUCGAGGCACC